GGGGAUAGAGCUCAGUUGGUAGAGUGCUUGCCUCUUAUGCACAAAGGCCCUGGGUUCGAUCCUCAGCAUCUCUC
rnacentral:tRNA from 1 species